rnacentral:rRNA from 1 species
UCCGGUGACGAUGAUGAGGAGGUCACACCUGUUCCCAUUCCGAACACAGCAGUUAAGCUCCUAGAUGCAGACAAUAGUUAGAUGGAGACGUCUUGUGAAGAUAUGUAGUUGCCGGAU